UACGGAGGGAGCUAGCGUUGUUCGGAAUUACUGGGCGUAAAGCGCACGUAGGCGGCUUUGUAAGUCAGAGGUGAAAGCCUGGAGCUCAACUCCAGAACUGCCUUUGAGACUGCAUCGCUUGAAUCCAGGAGAGGUGAGUGGAAUUCCGAGUGUAGAGGUGAAAUUCGUAGAUAUCGGGAGGAACACCAGCGGCGAAGGCGGCCAUCUGGACAGAUAUUGACGCUGAGGUGCGAAAGCGUGGGGAGCAAACAGG
rnacentral:rRNA from 1 species